rfam:Clostridium thermocellum ATCC 27405, complete genome.
UUUCGGUACUGCAGACGUAAAAGAACAGGACACUCGUGGAAGCGACCACGAAAAAAAGCGUA